rnacentral:misc_RNA from 1 species
AACGCACAUUGCGCCCGCCAGUAUUCUGGCGGGCAUGCCUGUUCGAGCGUCAUUUCAACCCUCAAGCCCAGCUUGGUGUUGGGGAUCCCGGUCACGGGCCCCCGAAAUGUAGUGGCGGUCUCGCUUGUCGACUCCUCUGCGUAGUAACCAAACCUCGCACCGGAUAGCAGCGCGGCCACGCCGUUAAACCCCCCACUUCUGAAGGUUGACCUCGGAUCAGGUAGGAAUACCCGCUGAACUUAA